UUAGAAACAUGCUAAUUAAUUAAAGGUUAAUUGUGUCCUCCCUCCUCUGAGAUCAGUGAAUAUGUGUAUAGCGUAGUUAAUUAAGUCAAGUGGUACAUCUAUAUACAACUUGAAGAGAACAGUUGAACGAGACUCUACGUGCAUGUGCUCAUUUAGGCUACCGCUGUCUCACACAUGCCAUGGACACAAGUGCUCAAAAUAAGCUGGCCUAUGACUUAUGGAAUGUAAGCUAUCAUGAUGUCGUCAAAGUGAAGUCCCUUUUGGGACAGGGGGCAGACCCCAACCAUCAGCUAUACUGGAGUGAGAAGUGGUAUUGGGAACCUCCGUUACACACAGCUUGUAAAUGGGGUCGCCUUGAGAUUGUAAAGACGCUUGUUACCCAUGGAGCUCGUACUGAUAAAGGUGAUGGUGGCGAUAACAUGACUCCACUUCACUGGGCAUGCAGGGGAGAUUGUAUAGAGGUGGUGAAAUACUUCAUCCGGGAGGUUGGAUGUAGCAUUGAUGUGAGGGAUAAGUAUAACAAGACUUCUCUUCACUUUGCUUGUUUGGGAGGAAGUAAAGACGUGGUACAGUAUCUGGUGGAGGAAAUGAGGAUGGAUGUUGAUGUGAUCGAUGAUUUUGGACAGUCACCACUGGACGAUGCGAUUGGUAAUAUGUUAGUCUCUAAAGUGUAUGUGGAUGUUGUCCUCUACCUGAUGAGCCGUGGUUGUUGUGGUGAUGAGGACAAAGCCGAUUUACUGCGGGGAGCAUGUUUCUGGGGCCAGCUGGGGGUGGUGAAGGAACUGGUUGAGCAACACAAAGUUGACGCCAAGAAUGUGAGGAGCAUUGACAAGACUCCUCCUCUUAUCAAUGCCUCUGGACACAAAGAUGUGGUCCAGUACUUGGUGGAAAAGGCCAACUGUGAUAUCAAUGUUCGGGAUGAUGAGGGACAGUCACUAUUGGACAGUGCUUUGGAACGUCUGGGGUAUGAAGAUGGCUGUUUGGAUGUUGCCCUUUACCUAAUGAGUCGUGGCUGUAGUGAUGAGGACAAGACCAAGUUACUGUGUAGAGCAUGUGAGUGUGGCAAGCUGGGUGCUGUGAAGGAAAUGGUUGAGAAAUACAAAGUUGAUCCCAAGAAUGUGAAGGACAGUGAGGGACAGUCACCACUGGACAGAGCUUUGGAAUUUCUGUAUGAAUAUGAUGACUGUGUGUAUGUUGCCCUCUACCUGAUGAACCGUGGAUGUGGUGGUGAUGAGGACAUUAAAGACGACUUACUGUAUGCAGCAUGUUGUAAGGGAAAGCUGGAGCUGGUGAAAGAACUAAUUGAGCAACACGAAGUUAACCCCAUGUGCAAAAGAACUUACGAUAAUGGCAAGACUCCUCUUGACGUUGCUACCGAGUGGCGUCACACUGAAAUUGCUGACUACCUCAAGUCUCUACCACGACAAUCUGCUCUGACUGAAGACAGUGAUUCCAAGAGUGGGGAGAAUAGACCAUCAUCAAAUGGCUAACAUAUCUCAUUCCUCCUCAAGCGACCUCUGACCCUCUCUUCAGUCAACAAACACCUAGUGCUCUACCAGAAACAACUGAUUCUCUAAAUGGUUCCAAGCAACUUCCUUCCGUUUUAAACGAUGACAAAACCUCGCCAAGCAAAGACUGAGAGUCGCCAAGCAAUUGAGAGUUUGGGACAGGCCAAAGAAUAGCAAGAUUAAACUAUUAUAGCAAUUAUUGUACACUGUACAAUCAUGUAAACGACAGAUUAUCUCAUAGAUGGUAAUUACUGCGACGUUUUCCUAGAUAUUUAGGGUUAUAGGUGAAAUGAUGCAUAUAUAAUUAUACUGACGUCUAUAUACCUAUAUAUAACUAUGAAAUAA